CGGGAGACACACGGCGGGUGCUAACGUCCGUCGUGAAGAGGGAAACAACCCAGACCGCCAGCUAAGGUCCCAAAGUCAUGGUUAAGUGGGAAACGAUGUGGGAAGGCCCAGACAGCCAGGAUGUUGGCUUAGAAGCAGCCAUCAUUUAAAGAAAGCGUAAUAGCUCACUGGUCGAGUCGGCCUGCGCGGAAGAUGUAACGGGGCUAAACCAUGCACCGAAGCUGCGGCAGCGACGCUGAUGCGUUGUUGGGUAGGGGAGCGUUCUGUAAGCCUGCGAAGGUGUGUCGUGAGGCAUGCUGGAGGUAUCAGAAGUGCGAAUGCUGACAUAAGUAACGAUAAAGCGGGUGAAAAGCCCGCUCGCCGGAAGACCAAGGGUUCCUGUCCAACGUUAAUCGGGGCAGGGUGAGUCGACCCCUAAGGCGAGGCCGAAAGGCGUAGUCGAUGGGAAACGGGUUAAUAUUCCCGUACUUGGUGUUACUGCGAAGGGGGGACGGAGAAGGCUAUGUUGGCCGGGCGACGGUUGUCCCGGUUUAAGCGUGUAGG
rnacentral:rRNA from 1 species